AAGACCUUGCGCUUUUGGAGCGGCCGAUGUCUGAUUAGCUUGUUGGUAAGGUAAAAGCUUACCAAGGCUUCGAUCAGUAGCUGGUCUGAGAGGACGACCAGCCACACUGGGACUGAGACACGGCCCAGACUCCUACGGGAGGCAGCAGUGGGGAAUUUUGGACAAUGGGGGCAACCCUGAUCCAGCCAUGCCGCGUGAGUGAAGAAGGCCUUCGGGUUGUAAAGCUCUUUCAGCCGGAACGAAACGGUUACGGUUAACACCCGUGACUACUGACGGUACCGGAAGAAGAAGCACCGGCUAACUACGUGCCAGCAGCCGCGGUAAUACGUAGGGUGCGAGCGUUAAUCGGAAUUACUGGGCGUAAAGGGUGCGCAGGCGGUUUUGUAAGUCAGAUGUGAAAUCCCCGGGCUUAACCUGGGAACU
rnacentral:rRNA from 1 species